rnacentral:rRNA from 1 species
AAGAAAAAACUAUUAUCCGUGGGAGGGAAGGAAAUCCUCCUGAACUCUAUUAAAACAAUCCCCACCUAUAUGAUGUCCAUCUUUAAAAUUCCUAAAAAAAUUAAGGGAAUCACUGAUACAAUGUCAUAUUUUUGGUGGGGUGAUGAGGACAAUCAGAAGAGGAUGCAUUGUAUGGCUUGGUGGAAAAUGUGUGUAACGAAAAAUCAAGUGGGGAUGGGCUUCCUAGAUGUUCAUUGAUUCAACCUGGCAAUGUUGAGAAAACAAGCUUGGCGUCUCCUUGAGAAUCCAGAGUCCUGGGUUAAUUGUGUAAAUCAUGGUUAUAUAUGGCGUGUUAGAAAUGGUCAUAAUAUUGAUAUUUGGGAAGAUGCUUGGACCCCGAAUUGUGUAAAUAGAAAACUAAUCACCCCUAGAGGGAUUAAUUUGAUCUAA